UACGUAGGCAGCGAGCGUUGUUCGGAGUUACUGGGCGUAAAGGGCGCGUAGGCGGGUACUUAAGUCAGAGGUCAAAUCCCAGGGCUCAACCCUGGAACUGCCUUUGAUACUGGGUACCUAGAGUUCGGGAGAGGUGUGUGGAACUCCGAGUGUAGAGGUGAAAUUCGUAGAUAUUCGGAAGAACACCAGUGGCGAAGGCGACACACUGGCCCGAUACUGACGCUGAGGCGCGAAAGCGUGGGGAGCAAACAGG
rnacentral:rRNA from 1 species